CUCAGAGCCGGAAAGCAAACAGCUGCUGUAGCCUGAUUUGAGUUAAAAUAGUGUGAGUGUUUAGUCUGGCGCACGGCUUCAGGGGAGAUUGGCAGCUGGGUCAAACAAAGUCCUUCCAUUGGCUCCCUUCCCAGGCAGCUUCUGCUAGUGUUUAGGUACUAGUGCAGUGUAGAACCCUUUUCUCAGGCAAAACCUAACAUCUGACCGCACCCUUUUUGCUAUUAAAAAAAAAAAAAAGCUUCUAUUUUUUUCCUCCUGUCGUUAAGAUAAAUUCUCCAGUAGACAACCUCUCCCACUAAUUGUGUAUUAGCAACGUAUUUUAUCUUGAGAGCUUGUACACUGGGCUCUCAACGUGGUGUGGAAGGUAGCCUGUUACAGUGCUGGAUUCAUAAAAGGGCCUUUAUGGUUUGUGAAAGAAUAUCUGUGUGCUUAGGGAGGAAACUUUUUGAUCUGCAGAAAAGCCAGAAGACAUCUAGGACAUCCAUAAAAAUUCAUCAGAGAGCAUUUUACUACUGAGCUGCAAAGGGAAAAACUUAAAAUGGAUAUGAAAAGUGAAGAAAGUGAUCAUAGGAGAAAACCAUUUCAGAUGACAAGAGCACCUCAAAGGCAGCAGCCUCAAGGAGCAGCCAUGGCCCCAGACUUGUCGCACGGAUGCAGAAAACUUAAUGGAGGAGGCUGAGCAAAACAGAGCGUGACACUCCCAAUCAUCUGCAUGCUGGAAAUGAGGAAAUGGUUAUUGAAUGAUACAAGUGCUUUUCGAUCAUUUAGAAAGUUCUGUUUCCCAAGAUCUUUUUUUUUUUUUUUUUUUUUGAGACGGUGUCUUGCUCUGUCACCCAGGCUGGAGUGCAGUGGCGCGAUCUCGGCUCACCACAACCUCCACCUCCUGGGUUCAAGCGAUUCUCCUGCCUCAGCCUCCCGCGUGGCUGAGACUACAGGCAUGUGCCACCAUGCCCGGCUAAUUUUUGUAUUUUUAGUAGAGACAGGGUUUCACUAUGUUGGCCAGGCUGGUCUCAAACUCCUGACCUCGUGAUCCGCCCGCCUUGGACUCCCAAAGUGCUGGGAUUACAGUUGUGAGCCACUGUGCCCGGCCUAGCAAGAUCACUUUUUAAGUAUCCAGAAAGCUCUUUCUUAUGUUGAAUUAUGUCCAGAGGCAUAACUAGACUGAAGGUUUAGACUCCAUUCAUUCUCCUAUGUUUUUGUUCUUAACUGCAUUCUGCAGUCAAAUCAGGAGCUUUAGAAAAUACUGAUGCCUGGCUCUCAACCAGAGAGAACUGAACUGAAUUGGUCUGGUGAAUUCAUUAAAAGAGCUAACAACAAUGAAGUUAAUGUACGCAUCUCACCUCUCAAGAGUAUUAACAGGCCAGGCGUGUUGGCUCAUACCUGUAAUCCCAGCACUUUGGGAGGCCAAGGCGGGCGGAUCACCCAAGGUAAGUUCAAGACCAGCCUGACCAACAUGGUGAAACCCCGUCUCUAUUAAAAAUACAAAAUUAGCCAGGCAUGGUGGUGCAUCCCUGUAAUCCCAGCUACUCGGCACCUGAGGCACAAGAAUUGCUUGAACCCGGGAGGCAGAGGUUGCGGUGAGCUGAGAUCCUGCCAUUGUACUCCAGCGUGGGCAACAAGAAUGAAACUCUGUCUCAAAAAAAUAAAUAAAUAAAAAUAAGUAUUAACACAUGGGAAAUCAUAAAGUUUUCAUUCUGAGCAGUGUGUCUUUGAAUGUUUUGACCACGCAGAGAUGGGAUUAUCAUGGUAAAAUCCACUCUAUGGAUUUACCAUAAUCUUGGUGGUAACGUGUUAACAGAAGCAAUAUUUAUUAUGAGAGUUAAAGUUUCAUUUGGUUUAGGUUCAUAUUUUCUUUCUCCUGUCAGUCUGCAAUGGCUCCCUAACAUAAUUCCAGAGAGCAUAUGAUGUGCUAGGCUCUGUGUAGGGGACAGGAGCACAGUGGUAAACCAACGUAAAGAAAUUACAUUUUUAAAACUUUUUACAUUUUUAGGAAAUACAUGUUAGCUAAAAAACUGUGUUUUGCUCCCUGCUACGUUUGCUUAUCCUAUCCUUCAUUACUCCUUGGAUUUUAGUCUAACUGGUCUUGGGACAUGCCUCUUCCCCACAAACACCCCCACCACCAUACCACAUUGCUGUGACACAUUUAGCUUGUUAAUGUGGUAAGAGUGGAGCUCACUUACAGAAUUUUUGCAGACUAGACCUUAGGCUACAGGUCUUUACCAUGGAGCAGAAAAGUGGUAUCUCAAACCUCAUCCACAAAGGUUGAUCUAGUCCAAGCCCCUCUCCAGGUUCAUGUCCAUGUACAGCUUUGUUCUUAUUGUAACAACCUACAUUUUAGAAUAGGCAACGAAGACCAUUACCAAGAGCAGUAGGAGGGGCAACCUUCGGCUGUUUGUUUUUCAGGAUCUCAACUUGUGAACUUACUCUUCUCUUCACAGAAUGGGAUAACUGCCUGGCACUCACCAAGCUACACUUGAAGAGGAUCAAUCCAUGUCAUCAUGUCCCCAAUUUCAUAGCACCAAGUAUUUUGUUUAUUCACAAAUGCCCUAUUAUGGACAUCUAGCAAACAAUGAUACAUCAGAAAAGGAGAUGUGCAUAAAUUUUCAUGGAAUAAGGUAUAAAGCCCAACUCUCAAUACAUACUAAUCAUAACAGGAGUCUAAGAAAUAUUCUGAAAUAAAUGGGAAUGCAGAAUGUGUCAGGCCUCUGAGCCCAAGCUAAGCCAUCAUAUCCCCUGUGACCAGCACGUACACAUCCAGAUGGCCGGUUCCUGCCUUAACUGAUGACAUUCCACCACAAAAGAAAUUAAAAUGGCCUGUUCUUGCCUUAACUGAUGACAUUAUCUUGUGAAAUUCCUUCUCCUGGCUCAUCCUGGCUCAAAAGCUCCCCAACUGAGCAUCUUGUGACCCCCACUCUUGCCUGCCAGAGAACAACCCCACUUUUUCCUUUACCUACCCAAAUCCUAUAAAACAGCCCCACCCCUAUCUCCCUUCGCUGACUCUCUUUUUGGACUCAGCCCGCCUGCACCCAGGUGAUUAAAAUCUUUGGAUGCGCAUGAAAGAAUGUGCCACAGAAAAUGAGACACAUCAAUGAGGGUUGUGGAAAAUGCACUAGAAUCAACAAACAUGGGGACUAAUUCAACUCGGAUAUCAUGUCUUCAGAGAAGUUUCUCCUGCCCUCCUCUCCCUGUAGAAUUAAGUAUUCUUCCACUGUGCCACCCUCUAACUUGUGCUCAUAUCUUCCUCUAUUGUAGUUAUGUGUUCACAUCCCUGUUGUUUUUGUACCGGCUUCUCCCAAAGGGAGACAUUUAGUCUUAUUCUUCUUGGUAACUUUAGCACAGACCUGGCAGAUUGUUGACACUCAACAAAUGUUUAUUGACUCAAAUGCAUUCAGUUGAACAUUGACCUUUGAUCAACUCUGGGAAAAGUCUGCAAAGCUAGUUAGGACAUUCAGAAAUUCAUUUCAUUUCAAUCCUAACUAAAUAAAUUAUUGAAGUCUCAGAACUUCUCAGUACUUGAUUUAGACACAUAGAAACUUGGGUAAAUAACACCUAUAUUGUUAUAUUCCUCAAGAAAAAGUUUAUCUUUUCAUGAAAUGAAUCUACUGAGGAUAUUUAUAGAAACUGAAUGUAAGUGAGCAGAAUAAAGUGGUGUGUGUGUGUGUGUGUGUGUGUGUGUAUGUAAUUUGAAGAGUAGGUGGGAGAAGGUUGUGAUAGGAUAGCAGAUCUUGUUUAUGAUAGUCACCAGCUAUAACAGACACUGCCUGAUGCCUUUCCAAUAUCCACUUCCCUUUUCUUUUUUUUCUUUUUGGAACAGAGUCUCACUCUGUCCCCCAGGCUGGAGUGCAACAGCACGAUCUCGGCUUACUGCAUCCUCUGCCUCCUGGGUUCAAGCAAUUCUCAUGCCUCAGCCUCCCUAGUAGCUGGGAUUACAGGCUCUCGCCACCACGCCCAGCUAAUUUUUGUGUUUUUAGUAGAGACGGGGUUUCGCCAUGUUGGCCAGGCUAGUCUUGAACUCCUGACCUCAGGUGAUCCACCUGCCUCAGCCUCUCUAAGUGCUGGGAUUACAGGCGUGAGCCACCGUGCCUGGCUCUCUUUUCUUACUUAAUGUCUGUGUCAAUUAAAUAGAAAUGUAUCAAGUUAAAAACCUUGCCUCGGUAGCUUCCAGUGCAAAUAAAGGUACCCAUGCCACCCCAUUCUGGCCAGCAGUAAAAUUGAUGGAAGCCUCUGGUUGGGGCUUCAAGGAAAGCUUUAUCAAAAGAUAAACUCACUGGCUUUGUCCCUUAGUUCAGUGGUCCCCAACCUUUUUGGCACCAAGAGACCAGUUUUGUGGAAGACAAUUUUUUCCAUGGACCAGGAGGGUUCCGGGGGAUGGUUUUGGGAUGAAAAUGUUUCACCUUAGAUAUCAUCGGGCAUUCAAUUCUCAUAAGGAGCCUGCAACCUAGACCUCUCACAUGUGCAGUUCACAAUAGGGUUCAUGCUCCUAUGAGAAUCUAAUGCCACUGCUGAUCUGACAGGAGGCAGAGCUCAGGCAGUAAUGCUCACUAGUUCCGUUGCUCGCCUCCUGCUGUGCAGCCCAGUUCCUAACAGGACACAGACCAGUACUGGUUCGCAACCCAGGGUUUGGGGGCCCCUGUCUUAGUUCCUUUGCCUUCCUUCCAGAUGGAUGCCUGGAGGAACAAUCAUCCCGCAAUUGUGAAAAUUGAAGCCAUAUUUUAAAGUUGGUUUCAAUUGUAAUACAGAAGAAAUCUGGACCUUGAUGACAUUUGAGCUAGAGUACUAAUCUUGAUCUUCCUAUUCAUGAGCUUGUUGCAAGAGACAAGACUUUUACUGAUUUAACUCAUUGUUGGGAUUUCUUGGAACUAAACACAGUCAUAAUACAUUUUUUCCUUCCCAGGAAAAUGGUAGAGCAUGACUUUUCAAAUCUAAUAAAACUCAUGUGUAGCUAAAACCACUCUACUGAAACAAUUCCAUCUCAGCCCAUGGUACAAGGGAUUUUCCUGAAUGAAAAAUGGUGUCUGAUCAUUUUGUUGGUUUCUUUGUUGGUUUUUCCUGAAACUUAGGGUUAAAGAAUCCAGGAAAGUUGUCUUAGAUAGAGUUAUAAUUUCCGUGGACAUCAACUGAUAAAUGCAAUUACAGUUUGUAUGCCUAGGUUUGGCAAAAAUCAUAUAAGCAACAUCCCUCACAUAAUAUUGUUUUAAUUAAAUUUUAUUUCUUUCUUGGUAUGAAACAUACUGCAGAAGCACAAUCAAUGAACAUUGGAUAGUUUCCUUAAAUCUUGCUCUUUGUCCUAUUUAUAUAAUUUAUUGUGUCAGUGGUUCUCAAGUGGUAUGCUCCUGCAACUCAUCAUCUGAAAAUCCUUCCCAGAUGUGCUGAAAAAUUUUCAUUAAUUUGUAUAUUCUAUUUUAUUUUUAUAACUAAGUACACAUGCUUGUGACUGGAAGAGAAGACACCCCUCAUUUAAUCCCAGAGGAAUAUUUGGCCUUGAUUCAUGCCCUGCUCACUCCACCCCAUUAUUAAGAUAGAGAUCGCUGAAGAAAUCCCUGCUCUAUAAAUGUAGCUGAUCCAAAAACAAAAUGGAAAUUCAUUAUUUUAAAUAUUUCUACAAGAUCUUUGUACAACUCUAUUUUUUUUUCCUAUUAAGAAUUACAUGAUUCUAGAAUAAGUUCCAACCCUAAGUAUCAACACUGGAACACAAUUUUAAAACAGGAGGCGAUUAUCUCUAUAGUGAGAUUUAACUACAGAGGUGAUAGCUCUGGUUAGUGAAUUUCAGGACUAGAAAUCAGGCCUGCUGUCUCUUAGCUUAGAGGAGGUAUAAUAAGAAGAGGAUUAGAACUACUGUGUAUAUUAACAAGAAGAACUCUAUUAUGUUCAGCUAUCAUUAUAUAUGAUAUUAUGUUUCUUUUUAUGAACUAUAGUUCACUGUCUUUAAGCAUAAUGUUUGCCCAAGGUGGGGGUGUUGGUGUGUGUCUGUGUGUAUAUGCAUGUGUGCACAUGUGUGUAUGUAUAGUUGAUUCAUUCAUUCUGACCUACUGAAUUUACUGAAGGAAUAAGAAGAAAUACCUUGAACUGAGGGACCUGGCUUAGCUCAACAUCUGUACCAUCUACCUUUGAGUAUCCAUUCCUUUACUAUGAAGCAUGGAUGCUAAAACUAAAAUUGCAUUUGCUAAACUACUUUGUAGCUAGAUUCCUGGGUGAGAUUAGAUUUGGUCAAUUAGAUGUUCUUGUGUAACAUUUAGAAGGUGAUAGUAAGGCAAAGGUCAUGUGACUGGCUGAUUUUAUUUAUGUUCAAUGAUCUUUAUUGGGGUACACUUUAUAUAUAAUAAUAAAUAAUGCACACAUUUUAAGUGUACAAUUUGAUGAGUUCUGACAAAUUUAUAUGCAUGUAUAACCAGCAUCAAUAUCAAGAUAUAUAAUGAUCCCCUCAUUCCAGAAUAGUCUCUUGUGUUCUUUCCAGCCAAUGCCCCACCCCUGGAUUCUGGCAACAAUUGAUCUGCUUUUUAUUACCAUGGAUUAUAUUUGUCUUUCCUAGAGAUACAAAUAAAUGAAAUAAUGUAGUGUGUCCUCUUUAACUUUGGCUUAUUUCUCUCGGCACACUAUUUCUGAAAUUUGUCCAUACUGUUGAUAUGGCAGACAGAAUUUUAAGAUGGUUCCUAAAAUUCUUGCCUCCUGGUAUGUAUAAUUUUCUCUCGGUUUUCCGCUGAACACUAACCUAGGUGCUAUUGUAAAGGGAUUUCUCAAGUGUAAUUAAAGUCCCUAAUAAGUUUAUUUUAAGUUAGAAAAAUUUUCCCAGGUGAGCUUGAGCUAAGUGAGUGACCUAAGCAGGUGAGUUGUUAGAAAAAAAUUAAGAGAUAUUUGAAGCGUAGACAAAAUUCUGUUGGCUUUUAAAAGAAAACUUCCAUGUGAUAGAGAAAGCCAGAUGAUAGGGAACACAAGGUUACCUCUAAAUUGACAACCAGCAAAAAAGCUGAGACUUCAGUCUUAUCAUCAUAAGGAAUUGAAUUCUGUCAACAGCCACGUGACCUUAGAGGAGGCCCCUGAGCCGCAGAUGAGAUCAUGGCCCUGGCCAAUACCUUAAAUUCAUCCUGGUGAGAUAUGAGCAGAGAACUCAGCUAUGCCAUGCUCAGAUUUCUCACCUGUAGAGCAGUAAAUUAAUAAGUGAGCAUUAUUUGAAGCUGCUAAGUUUGUGGUGAUUUGUUACACAUCAAGAGAAAACAUAUGCUGUAUAUAUUAUUAGAUUUUUCCUUUAUAUUGGUGGGUGUAUUUGUUAUCUAUUACUUCCUAACAAAUCGACAAUAAUUAAGUGUCUUAAGACAACACAUAUUUAUUACCUCAUAGUUUCUGUGGGUCAGAAAUCUGGGCAUGGUUUAUGUGAGUUCUUUGAUUUAAAGUUGUUGGCAAAUCUGUAAACAAGGAAGCAGUCAGGACCGAGGUCUCAUCUGAAAGUCAACUUGGGAUGGGUCUGCUUCCAGCCUCACUUAACAUAACAGCUGGCAGGAUUCAGUUGCUCUUGGGUAGUUGGAUUGAUGGCCUCAGAUAACUAGGUAGCUAUUAGCUAGAUUUCACCCUCAGUUUGUUGCCGUGUGGGCCUCCCUAAGGUGGCAAUUUACUUCAUCAAAACCAGCAAGGGAGAGAGUUGGCUACAAUCUCUAGUAAUGUAGCUACAGAAAUGACAUCCCCUUAGCAAUGAGAUAUUUUAUUAAUUAGAAAGAAAUUACUCAACAGGAGGGGAUUACACAAUGUAGUGAAUACCAGGAGGCUGAGAUCAGAAGGAGCUAGUGUAGAAGCUGCCUACCACAGUGAGUAGUAUUCUAUUACAUGAAUAUACCAGAAUGUCUGAAUCCACCCAACUGGGCAUAGACGUUUGUGUUCAUUCAAGAUACAGACUAUUAUUAUUUUAAAAAUAAAAGUUACUAUGAACAUUUAAGUAUAAGCUUUUGUGUGGGCGUGUUUCAUUUGUUUUGAAUGAAAUUGCAGGGUCGCAUAGAAAAUGCAUAUUUAAUCUUAUAAGAAGCUGCUUAAAAUGCUUUGCAAUGUGAUUUUACCAUUUUACACUCCCAACAAUGUAUAGCAAUAUAUCAUAGAUCUAGUGGUUUCAUAUCUCCACAAACACUUGAUAUUGUCACUCAGUUUAAUUGUAGCUACUUAAAUAGGCUUAUAAUGGUACUCGUUAUGAUUUUAAUAUGCAUUUCCCUAAUGCCUAUUAGGGACUAAUUAUGUUAAGCAUCUUUUCAUGUAUUUGGAGGCCAUUUGUGUACCUUCAUUUGUAAAAUAUCUGUUUAAGUAGCUUGCCCAUUUGGAUUGCUUUACAUUUUAUUAUAGAGUCAUAAGCAUCCUUUAUAUAUUCUGAAUAUAACUCUUUUAUCAGACAUACAUAUAUAUCAAAUAUUUUUUUCUAAGUUUGUGGUUUGUGUUUUUACUUUUUAUACUGUUUAUUGAAUAGUAGAUUUUAUAUUCAUUUUAUCCAUUCUGUUAUGAUCGAUAUUUUUUGAACUAUGAAAAUAUUGCUAUGUAAAAAUAAAAAAUAUAUUUUCAUCCCGAGUUUCAUAAUUUUAGCUUUCACUCUUAUAUCUGUGAUUCAUUCUGAGUUUUCUUGUAUAGUUUAAAGUCAGAGUGGGUGUUUGUUUGCUUAUUAAUAUAUUUAUAGAUAUUUCUAAUUCUUUCUAGCACCAUUUAUUAAAAAGUCUCUUUUUUUACCCAUUGAAUUAUUUUUUUUAAAUUGUUAUGUCUAAAAUCAAAUUACCAAAUACACAUUGUCUAUUUUGAACUAUUUAUUCUGUUUCAUUGAUUUUUAUGUGUUCCUUUACACCAAUAUCAUUGUCUUAAUUACUGUAGAUUUGUUGGAAAUAUGGGAGUCAAAUUUAAGGAUUUCAAUUUUGUCCUUUUAUCAAGUUGUUUUGGCUGUUCUAGGUCCUUUGCAUUUCCCUAUAACAUUUGGAAUUAGGUUGUCAAUAUUUCCCCAGAAUAAAGCCUGCUGGGAUUUUGAACAGGAUUGCAUGGAAUCUAUAAAUCAAUUUAGUGAGAAUUAAUAACAUAUUAAGUACUCUAAUUGAUGAACAUAGUAUCAUCUUCCAUUUAUUUAGUCUUUGACUUCUCGGAAAUGUUUUAUAGUUUUCAGUGUGUAGGUCUUGAAGUUUGUAAAAUUCUAAGUGUUUUAUGGUUUUGACUGUAAUUGUAAAUACCUCCCAUUGUUCAUUGUUAGUACAUAGAAAUAAAAUAAAUUUUGUAUUAAUUUGUCUCAUGCAAUCUUCUAUACUCACUUCUUUCCAAUAGUUUUAUGUGGAAUUCUUAG
rnacentral:lncRNA from 1 species